UGAGUAACCUGCCCUUGACUCUGGGAUAAGCCUGGGAAACCGGGUCUAAUACCGGAUAUGACUCCUCAUCGCAUGGUGGGGGGUGGAAAGCUUUUUUGUGGUUUUGGAUGGACUCGCGGCCUAUCAGCUUGUUGGUGAGGUAAUGGCUCACCAAGGCGACGACGGGUAGCCGGCCUGAGAGGGUGACCGGCCACACUGGGACUGAGACACGGCCCAGACCUCCUACGGGAGGCAG
rnacentral:rRNA from 1 species